rnacentral:misc_RNA from 1 species
GGAGGGAUCAUUACCGAGUUUACAACUCCCAAACCCCUGUGAACAUACCACUUGUUGCCUCGGCGGAUCAGCCCGCUCCCGGUAAAACGGGACGGCCCGCCAGAGGACCCCUAAACUCUGUUUCUAUAUGUAACUUCUGAGUAAAACCAUAAAUAAAUCAAAACUUUCAACAACGGAUCUCUUGGUUCUGGCAUCGAUGAAGAACGCAGCAAAAUGCGAUAAGUAAUGUGAAUUGCAGAAUUCAGUGAAUCAUCGAAUCUUUGAACGCACAUUGCGCCCGCCAGUAUUCUGGCGGGCAUGCCUGUUCGAGCGUCAUUUCAACCCUCAAGCACAGCUUGGUGUUGGGACUCGCGUUAAUUCGCGUUCCCCAAAUUGAUUGGCGGUCACGUCGAGCUUCCAUAGCGUAGUAGUAAAACCCUCGUUACUGGUAAUCGUCGCGGCCACGCCGUUAAACCCCAACUUCUGAAUGUUGACCUCGGAUCAGGUAGGAAUACCCGCUGAACUUAAGCA